CGGCGGACGGGUGAGUAACGCGUGGGUAACCUGCCUUAGUACAGGGGAUAACAGUUAGAAAUGACUGCUAAUACCGCAUAAGCGCACAGUACCGCAUGGUAGUGUGUGAAAAACUCCGGUGGUAUAAGAUGGACCCGCGUCUGAUUAGCCAGUUGGCGGGGUAACGGCCCACCAAAGCGACGAUCAGUAGCCGACCUGAGAGGGUGACCGGCCACAUUGGGACUGAGACACGGCCCAAACUCCUACGGAAGGCAGCAG
rnacentral:rRNA from 1 species